AGGCCCUGCUCGCGGGGCUUGGCGACAAGGACGCACGACACGGGGCGGCCAGCGCGGAGCCCGGACCAGUGCAGCUAGACGGGCGGGCCGAGGGCUUCGUGGGCCCCGGGGAGUCGGGCGCAGAGACUUCUCCAAGUUUGUGCGAGUCCCGAGCCCUCUGCCUCCCUGCCCCGGCCCCCGCCGAAGGCUGGCCUAAAGACGGGCUCCGUGUCUGGUGGCUGAGUCGGUGAUCCCGGCCCCGCUCACCGAUGGACACGCGGCGGUGGAACCCCGUGGGCCCCCUCGUUGCGUGGCCGCACCCGGGGCUCGGUGCAGGGAACCGGCUUCCAUAGGGACGGCCGGCUCGGGUCGCUGGACUGGGACGGGGUGCACUGGCGGGAGCCCCGCGAUUUCCUCGGUUUCUGAGCAAGCGGGGCCACAAGGCUCGGGGUCCCAGUGGGAGGUGGGCAGGGUCCAGCCUCUAAGGCCCGAUCUGGGUGCCAGGCUCGAAGGCCCCAACCCCGGUGGGGCUCUCAGCCGGCUCUCGGGGACUCGGGAAGAGUUUCCUCCAGGCGCCAGAAAUGCGUGUGGGUAGGAGGCGACCCAGGUCAGGGAACCGUGUCCCGCUCGCACUCCCGGUGAGGGCUGCAUGGAGGCGCCGCUGCCGCGGAGCAGCUCCGCAGGUUGCGGGAAACGGAACGGCGGGCUCGGAGCACACCGGGUGGACCCAGGCUUGGCGGCCAUGAAAGUUCUUUUUUUCUUUUUUUCUUUCUUUCUUUCUUUCUUUCUUUCUUUCUUUCUUUCUUUCUUUCUUUCUUUCUUUCUUUUCUUUCUUUCUUUCUUUUUUCUUUCUCGGAGCACACCGGGUGGACCCAGGCUUGGCGGCCAUGAAAGUUCUUUUUUCUUUCUUCCUUCCUUUCUUUCUUUCUUUCUUUCUUUCCUUCCUUCCUUCCUUCCUUCCUUCCUUCCUUCCUUCCUUCUUUCUUUCUUUCUUUCUUUCUUUCUUUCUUUCUUUCUUUUCUUUCUUUCUUUCUUUCUUUCUUUCUCGGAGCACACCGGGUGGACCCAGGCGUGGUGGCCAUGAAAGUUCUUUUUUCUUUCUUCCUUCCUUCCUUCCUU
rnacentral:lncRNA from 1 species